rnacentral:piRNA from 1 species
UGUCACCUCAGCGUCAGCCCACAGCCC